UGGGGAAUAUUGCACAAUGGGGGAAACCCUGAUGCAGCGACGCCGCGUGGAGGAAGAAGGUCUUCGGAUUGUAAACUCCUGUUGUUGGGGAAGAUAAUGACGGUACCCAACAAGGAAGUGACGGCUAACUACGUGCCAGCAGCCGCGGUAAAACGUAGGUCACAAGCGUUGUCCGGAAUUACUGGGUGUAAAGGGAGCGCAGGCGGGAGAACAAGUUGGAAGUGAAAUCCAUGGGCUCAACCCAUGAACUGCUUUCAAAACUGUUUUUCUUGAGUAGUGCAGAGGUAGGCGGAAUUCCCGGUGUAGCGGUGGAAUGCGUAGAUAUCGGGAGGAACACCAGUGGCGAAGGCGGCCUACUGGGCACCAACUGACGCUGAGGCUCGAAAGUGUGGGUAGCAAACAGGAUUAGAUACCCUGGUAGUCCACACCGUAAACGAUGAUUACUAGGUGUUGGAGGAUUGACCCCUUCAGUGCCGCAGUUAACACAAUAAGUAAUCCACCUGGGGAGUACGACCGCAAGGUUGAAACUCAAAGGAAUUGACGGGGGCCCGCACAAGCAGUGGAGUAUGUGGUUUAAUUCGACGCAACGCGAAGAACCUUACCAAGUCUUGACAUCCCUUGACAGGCAUAGAAAUAUGUUUUCUCUUCGGAGCAAGGAGACAGGUGGUGCAUGGUUGUCGUCAGCUCGUGUCGUGAGAUGUUGGGUUAAGUCCCGCAACGAGCGCAACCCUUAUGGUCAGUUACUACGCAAGAGGACUCUGGCCAGACUGCCGUUGACAAAACGGAGGAAGGUGGGGAUGACGUCAAAUCAUCAUGCCCUUUAUGACUUGGGCUACACACGUACUACAAUGGCGUUAAACAAAGAGAAGCAAGACCGCGAGGUGGAGCAAAACUCAGAAACAACGUCCCAGUUCGGACUGCAGGCUGCAACUCGCCUGCACGAAGUCGGAAUUGCUAGUAAUCGCAGAUCAGCAUGCUGCGGUGAAUACGUUCCC
rnacentral:rRNA from 1 species